UGGGGAGAGGCUCAGCGGAAGAGCGCUUGCCUCCCAUGUGUGAGGCACUGAGUUCGAUCCUCAGCACCAUAU
rnacentral:tRNA from 1 species